CGGAUGUGCAAUCUGAUUGGCUAGAUACAUAUUUUAAAAUACAGUGCGCGAGUUUUCGCCUUUGAGUGUUGUGGUUGUCAUUUGACUUUUUUACCUUUUAAGAUAAAUGUUAUAUGUAAUAUUUUAGAAACUCGUUAGAACUGUAGUAUAAGACGAGGAUAAGAGGAUAAAUUGUCGGUUUAACGUGGUAAGUAGCUAACGUUAGCUAGCUUGCUAACGUUACCGUUAACUGAGCUGCAAAACUAGCCAACGUUAUUCAAUAGCGAAAAUAUGCAUUCAUUUGUUUUGCAGAUAUGAAAAUGAAGUGCUUAAAGGUUGACGAAUACAUCAAACGGACAGCGUGUCCAAAAGAGACAAGAGUUCUACAUGAAGAAUUAGAGACUUACAUGAGAAAUGGACCAGGGCCACAAGGUCGAACAUUGUAUGACCGAGUUGUCAGGGCCUGUAAUCACCAACUUGGAGUUGGGCCCCUGGACAGUGACCAUAUUGCUGGACUCAUAAAGCUGGUGGAGCUUGCACUCAGAGGGUAUGACAUCUCAGGGGAGCUCGGUGUGCAAAGCACCCCUUUGUAUAUGGAGAAAAUCACCUUUCACGUACUCAAGAAACUGGCCUCCUUGGGAGUGUACCAUCCAUGUAGCUACUUGGGAAGCCUACUCUACCAGAGGUUGGCUCCAGCUCCACAGGUAAAGGAUGGAUGAUAGAGUAUUAGUACAGUACUUCCUAUUAUAGUAACUGUAGUCAGCUGUUUUUACAUCAUCUUUGAUUGUGUCUUCUCAAUCUCUUUUUGAAUGUGUCUUCCUUCCUCUUGUGUGCCCCAUAGACAGAAGACUACUGUGUGCUUGUACGCAGCUGCUUUGCUGUACUGUGGAAUGGACUUUCUGCAGCACAAGACGGUGCCUGCCUUAAACCCAGGGACAAAUUCUGCUGCCAGUUGCAAGCCCUGAGCUUCCUGCUGCUGCUGGACAGGGAGAGAACCUCACCCCCCUCCUGCUCCAAAACCCCCAUAUAUGUGGAAGAUGCCCUGACUGAGUUUGAGAAGGGCUGUGGGACCCUGACUAAGGAGGAUGCCUCCUUGAUCUUGGAGGAGACCCAUCGUCAUCUCCUGUCCCCCUGGGCUGGGGGACGGGGCAGGGAUGGGCAGCCUUCGGGGCGGCCCUGCCUCUCUACACUCUGUGAGGUGGUGCUGAUCACCUCAAAGCUUCUGUCUAAGGCAGGUUUCUGGAGCCUAGCUGCAGGGCUGGUGGGUGGAGCCCUGGGAAAGGUCAGGAACUCAACAGACUGCCUCAGCCCAGCUCUGGUGCUUGGCAGGCUGGCAGUAGACAUCCACCGUUCCAUGAGCUCCGGAGAGGAGAGUGGACAGGCUUUUACAGAGUGUGCCCGGACCCUCCGAUCUCUCCCUAACACCCUUGGGGACCGGGAGGCCCAUGUGAUCCUGGAGGGGUGCAGUCUGGUGGUAUGGGCAGUGGAGGCAGGGCAGAGCAAGGGGCUAAGUGGCGCUGUGCUCCUGGCCUGGUUCUCAUUUCUGGAAGAGCAUCAGGAACUCAUGCAGAAGAGAUUACAGAAGGUUAGUGUCAUUCACUUAUCAUUGACCAGAAAAAACAUU
ensembl:lncRNA